GACGAACGCUGGCGGCGCGCUUAACACAUGCAAGUCGAACGGAAAGGCCUCCUUCGCCUGGUGGUUUGCGGGCAAACGGGUGGGGAACAGGUGAGUAACCCGCGCGUGAUCUUGCCCUAACUUGGGGAAAAUCGGGGGAAACUGGGUCAGAUUCUCGUGAGGCCUGGAGGGGGGUGGAUAGGGUGGGAGGCUGUGUUCUGGCGGUCGGGGAUGGGCCCGGGGGGUAUCAGCGUGGUGGUGGGGGACUUGCCCACGAAGGCGGCGACGGGUAGCCGGCCUGAGAGGGUGGACGGCCACAUUGGGACUGAGAAACGGCCCAGACGCCUACGGGAGGCAGCAGUGGGGAAGAGUGGACGAGGGGCGGAAGCCUGAUGCAGCGACGCCGCGUGGGGGAUGACGGCCUUCGGGUUGUAAACUCCUUUCGACCGCGAGGAAGCCACCUGGUUGGAAGGGUGGUGACGGUAGUGGUAGAAGAAGCACCGGCUAACUACGUG
rnacentral:rRNA from 1 species